rnacentral:rRNA from 1 species
GACGAACGCUGGCGGCGUGCUUAACACAUGCAAGUCGAACGGAAAGGCCCUGCUUUUGUGGGGUGCUCGAGUGGCGAACGGGUGAGUAACACGUGAGUAACCUGCCCUUGACUUUGGGAUAACUUCAGGAAACUGGGGCUAAUACCGGAUAGGAGCUCCUGCUGCAUGGUGGGGGUUGGAAAGUUUCGGCGGUUGGGGAUGGACUCGCGGCUUAUCAGCUUGUUGGGGGGGUAGUGGCUUACCAAGGCUUUGACGGGUAGCCGGCCUGAGAGGGUGACCGGACAAAUUGGGACGGAGAUACGGCCCAGACUACUACGGGAGGCAGCAGUGGGGAAUAUUACACAAUGGGCGGAAGCCUGAUGCAGCAACGCCGCGUGCGGGAAGACAGCCUUCGGGUUGUAAACCGCUUUCGCCUGUGACGAAGCGUGAGUGACGGUAAUGGGUAAAGAAGCACCGGCUAACUACGUG